UGUAAAUAAUAUAUUUUGUACAUUUUCCCAUUUUCCCUACGUUUUUUCCUGGUUUUUCCAUGUUUAUGACUCCCUUAAAGUAUCUUAAAUUACUACCCCAGUGAGAUUUCCUUCCAGAAAAAAUGUCACACUUGAAAAUCGGAGGAGCAAAAUUAAUUGUAGAAAAGUUGUUCACAGGAAACAAAAAACAUCAUUGUAAAACCAAUACAUUUACUUCACUCGGAAUCUAAAAACAGAUAACGACAAAUAUUUUUCGAGUGGUUAAGAGGGCAUUAUACGCUCAUCUACCGUCUCAGUUCAUCUACAAGGUAACAUGUAAAAAAAAAUGCUUACGCAAAAUAAGUAAAACUAACUCAAUUUUGAUUUUAGAGUAAAAGUACCUAUUAUGAAAUGUAUAGAAAGCAAUAUUUUGGAGGGAAUAUCAUGGAUGU